AGCGAACGCUGGCGGCAUGCCUAACACAUGCAAGUCGCACGGUCAGCAAUGGCAGUGGCGGACGGGUGAGUAACGCGUAGGGACGUAUCCAAUGGUGGGGGAUAACCCUGGGAAACUAGGGCUAAUACCGCAUGAGGCCUGCGGGCGAAAGCAGCGAUGCGCCGAUGGAGCGACCUGCGUCCGAUUAGCUAGUUGGUAGGGUAACGGCCUACCAAGGCUCUGAUCGGUAGCUGGUCUGAGAGGAUGAUCAGCCACACUGGGACUGAGACACGGCCCAGACUCCUACGGGAGGCAGCAGUGGGGAAUAUUGGACAAUGGGCGCAAGCCUGAUCCAGCAAUGCCGCGUGGAUGAAGAAGGUCUUCGGAUUGUAAAGUCCUUUCGGCGGGGACGAUGAUGACGGUACCCGCAGAAGGAGCCCCGGCUAACUUCGUGCCAGCCGCCGCGGUAAAAC
rnacentral:rRNA from 1 species